UAGGAAUAAGAGAAGAAUUAGCACCCCAAGAUAAGGGGAACUGUACCUUUCUCCCUCCGGCAGCUUAUAUGCUAUCUAAGAAAGAGAAAAGGGAGCAGCGAAAGAUACUUUAUUUCUUGCUCCUUACUGCCAAGGGGGACACUGGAUGCUUAUUGUGGUUAAUCCCGUUGCUCCAAAAAUAUGGUAUCUCGAUCCCCUUAAUGGAGAGCCAAGCAACAGGGAAGAUAUGGUGGUACUUUUUAAUAAAGCUGUGGUGUUGUAUCGCACUGCGACCGACAUGACUGUGUCCCCUAAGAUGAGGGCAUU